rnacentral:rRNA from 1 species
CCUACGGGUGGCAGCAGUGAGGAAUAUUGGUCAAUGGUCGGGAGACUGAACCAGCCAAGCCGCGUGAGGGAUGAAGGUACAGAGUAUCGUAAACAUCUUUUGUCAGGGAACAAAGGCGGGGACGUGUCCCCGGAUGAGUGUACCUGAAGAAAAAGCAUCGGCUAACUCCGUGCCAGCAGCCGCGGUAAUACGGAGGAUGCGAGCGUUAUCCGGAUUUGUUGGGUUUAAAGGGUGCGUAGGUGGAAGGGUAAGUCAGGGGUAAAAUGUCGGUGCUAAACACCGUCCGGCCGUUGAGACUGGUCGUCUUGAGUGAGCGAGAGGUAUGCGGAAUGCGUGGUGUAGCGGUGAAAUGCAUAGAUAUCACGCAGAACUCCGAUGGCGAAGGCAGCAUACCGGCGCUCAACUGACGCUGAGGCACGAAAGCGUGGGGAUCGAACAGGAUUAGAUACCCCAGUAGUC